rnacentral:rRNA from 1 species
AACGAACGCUGGCGGCAUGCCUAACACAUGCAAGUCGAACGAGACCUUAGGAACUAGUGGCGCACGGGUGCGUAACGCGUGGGACCCUGCCCUUAGGUUCGGAAUAACUCCCCGAAAGGGGUGCUAAUACAGGAUAAUGUCUGCGGACAAAAGAUUUAUCGCCUUUGGAUGGGCCCGCGUUGUAUUAGCUAGUUGGUAGGGUAAAAGCCUACCACGGCGACGAUCCAUAGCUGGUCUGAGAGGAUGAUCAGCCACACUGGGACUGAGACACGGCCCAGACUCCUACGGGAGGCAGCAGUGGGGAAUAUUGGACAAUGGGCGAAAGCCUGAUCCAGCAAUGCCGCGUGAGUGAUGAAGUCCUUAGGGUUGUAAAGCUCUUUUAUCCGGGAUGAUAAUGACAGUACCGGGAGAAUAAGCACCGGCUAACUCCGUG